AGUGAACGCUGGCGGUAGGCCUAACACAUGCAAGUCGAACGGCAGCACAGUAAGAGCUUGCUCUUACGGGUGGCGAGUGGCGGACGGGUGAGGAAUACAUCGGAAUCUACUUUUUCGUGGGGGAUAACGUAGGGAAACUUACGCUAAUACCGCAUACGACCUACGGGUGAAAGCAGGGGAUCUUCGGACCUUGCGCGAUUGAAUGAGCCGAUGUCGGAUUAGCUAAUUGGCGGGGUAAAGGCCCACCAAGGCGACGAUCCGUAGCUGGUCUGAGAGGAUGAUCAGCCACACUGGAACUGGGACACGGUCCAGACUCCUACGGGAGGCAGCAGUGGGGAAUAUUGGACAAUGGGCGCAAGCCUGAUCCAGCCAUACCGCGUGGGUGAAGAAGGCCUUCGGGUUGUAAAGCCCUUUUGUUGGGAAAGAAAAGCAGCAGGUUAAUACCCCGCUGUUCUGACGGUACCCAAAGAAUAAGCACCGGCUAACUUCGUG
rnacentral:rRNA from 1 species